AUUUUGUGUUGUUACUGUGUUAUAUUACUGGAAUAUACUGCCCAACACAAAAUGUGUUAAAUUAUUGGCCAAUCCCUGGUGUCCUGGAUGAGCCGUUACCCUGAGAGGAGAGGUUCUUUUCUCAGCACUUCAUUUUAUCUUGGCGCACUGGAAGAAGGUGCAAGUGGCACACAGAGUGGAUGUAAAUGUCUGAAUAAAAGCUACAAGGUUGUGGAUUGCUGCUAGACAUCCAACGUUGGAGGUUUUUGCAGAGUUUUCACGCUUUGUGGACAUGCCAUAUAUGCAUUUGGAAAGAUGUUUCCUGGAAAAGCUGUUCAUCCGAAAAUGGGAGGGAAUGUCCACAAGUGAACCUGCAGCUGCCUUGCCACCAGUUCCUGAGGAUGAUGUUUCAUGUUACAGAGCUCUUCAUAAGCUUGUCCAUCUGCUGCCCCCCACUGCAUCAGGCAGGGGCAAAGGGAACACCAAAUGCAGUGUGAAGUCAGCUUUGGGCUACCUUUUGGAUAUAAAACCGACUGGAACCAGCAUUUCCAGUGUGCUGAACAAUCAUCCUGAUAGAUCAGUAGAACAUCGCCAGCCCCACUUGGUGUGCAUUGGAGAUC